GACGAACGCUGGCGGCGUGCUUAACACAUGCAAGUCGAACGGAAAGGCCCUGCUUUUGUGGGGUGCUCGAGUGGCGAACGGGUGAGUAACACGUGAGUAACCUGCCCUUGACUUUGGGAUAACUUCAGGAAACUGGGGCUAAUACCGGAUAGGAGCCCCUGCUGCAUGGUGGGGGGUGGAAAGUUUCGGCGGUUGGGGAUGGACGCGCGGCUUAUCAGCUUGUUGGUGGGGUAGUGGCUUACCAAGGCUUUGACGGGUAGCCGGCCUGAGAGGGUGACCGGCCACAUUGGGACUGAGAUACGGCCCAGACUCCUACGGGAGGCAGCAGUGGGGAAUAUUGCACAAUGGGCGGAAGCCUGAUGCAGCAACGCCGCGUGCGGGAUGACGGCCUUCGGGUUGUAAACCGCUUUCGCCUGUGACGAAGCGUGAGUGACGGUAAUGGGUAAAGAAGCACCGGCUAACUACGUG
rnacentral:rRNA from 1 species